AGGAUAAACGCUGGCGGCGUGCCUAAUACAUGCAAGUCGAGCGGCAGCGCGGUCUUCGGACUGGCGGCGAGCGGCGGACGGCUGAGUAACACGUAGGAACGUACCCCAAAGUGAGGGAUAAGCACCAGAAAUGGUGUCUAAUACCGCAUGUGCUCUAAGGAGUAAAGCUUCGGCGCUUUGGGAACGGCCUACGCAUGAUUAGCUUGUUGGUGAGGUAAUGGCUCACCAAGGCGACGAUCAUUAGCUGGUCUGAGAGGAUGAUCAGCCAGACUGGGACUGAGAACGGCCCAGACUCCUACGGGAGGCAGCAGUAGGGAAUUUUCCACAAUGGGCGAAAGCCUGAUGGAGCAACGCCGCGUGCAGGAUGAAGGCCUUAGGGUUGUAAACUGCUUUAUGUGUGACGAAUAUGACGGUAGCAUAUGAAUAAGGAUCGGCUAACUCCGUGCCAGCAGCCGC
rnacentral:rRNA from 1 species